rnacentral:rRNA from 1 species
AACGAACGCUGGCGGCAUGCCUAACACAUGCAAGUCGAACGAGACCUUCGGGUCUAGUGUCGCACGGGUGCGUAACGCGUGGGAACCUGCCCUUAGGUUCGGAAUAACUCCCCGAAAGGGGUGCUAAUACCGGAUAAUGUCUUCGGCCCAAAGAUUUAUCGCCUUUGGAUGGGCCCGCGUUGGAUUCGCUAGUUGGUAGGGUAAAAGCCUACCAAGGCGACGAUCCAUAGCUGGUCUGAGAGGAUGAUCAGCCACACUGGGACUGAGACACGGCCCAGACUCCUACGGGAGGAAGCAGUGGGGAAUAUUGGACAAUGGGCGAAAGCCUGAUCCAGCAAUGCCGCGUGAGUGAUGAAGGCCUUAGGGUUGUAAAGCUCUUUUACCCGGGAUGAUAAUGACAGUACCGGGAGAAUAAGCUCCGGCUAACUCCGUG